UACGGAGGGUGCAAGCGUUAUCCGGAUUCACUGGGUUUAAAGGGUGCGUAGGCGGGCAUUUAAGUCAGUGGUGAAAUACCUGAGCUUAACUUGGGAACUGCCAUUGAUACUAUUUGUCUUGAAUGUCGUGGAGGUUAGCGGAAUAUGUCAUGUAGCGGUGAAAUGCUUAGAUAUGACAUAGAACACCUAUUGCGAAAGGCAGCUAACUAACGCGAAUAUUGACGCUGAGGCACGAAAGCGUGGGGAUCAAACAGG
rnacentral:rRNA from 1 species